AUUCCAGCUCCAGUAGCGUAUAUUAAUGCUGCUGCAGUUAAAAAGCUCGUAGUUGGAUCUAGGGUUCGGGCUGAGGGUCCGUCGCAAGGCGUGCACUCUCUGACCUGGCCUCCCUCGCGGUUUACGCCCGGUUCUCUUAACUGAGUGCCGGGUGAGACCGGAACGUUUACUUUGAAAAAAUUGGAGUGUUCAAAGCAGGCGCAACAGCCUGAACAGUAGAGCAUGGAAUAAUGGAAUAGGACCUCGGUUCUAUUGCGUUGGUUUUCGGAGUCCGAGGUAAUGAUUGAGAGGGACUGACGGGGGCAUUCGUAUUGCGGUGUGAGAGGUGAAAUUCUUGGAUCGCCGCAAGACGACCGACAGCGAAAGCAUUUGCCAAGAAUGUCUUCAUUA
rnacentral:rRNA from 1 species